UACGAAGGGGGCUAGCGUUGCUCGGAAUCACUGGGCGUAAAGGGUGCGUAGGCGGGUCUUUAAGUCAGGGGUGAAAUCCUGGAGCUCAACUCCAGAACUGCCUUUGAUACUGAGGAUCUUGAGUUCGGGAGAGGUGAGUGGAACUGUGAGUGUAGAGGUGAAAUUCGUAGAUAUUCGCAAGAACACCAGUGGCGAAGGCGGCUCACUGGCCCGGUACUGACGCUGAGGUGCGAAAGCGUGGGGAGCAAACAGG
rnacentral:rRNA from 1 species